rnacentral:rRNA from 1 species
AGUGAACGCUGGCGGUAGGCCUAACACAUGCAAGUCGAACGGCAGCACAGUAAGAGCUUGCUCUUACGGGUGGCGAGUGGCGGACGGGUGCGGAAUACAUCGGAAUCUACUUUUUCGUGGGGGAUAACGUAGGGAAACUUACGCUAAUACCGCAUACGACCUACGGGUGAAAGCAGGGGAUCUUCGGACCUUGCGCGAUUGAAUGGGCCGAUGUCGGAUUAGCUAGUUGGCGGGGUAAAGGCCCACCAAGGCGACGAUCCGUAGCUGGUCUGUGAGGAUGAUCAGCCACACUGGAACUGGGACACGGUCCAGACUCCUACGGGAGGCAGCAGUGGGGAAUAUUGGACAAUGGGCGCAAGCCUGAUCCAGCCAUACCGCAUGGGUGAAGAAGGCCUUCGGGUUGUAAAGCCCUUUUGUUGGGAAAGAAAAGCAGCAGGUUAAUACCCCGCUGUUCUGACGGUACCCAAAGAAUAAGCACCGGCUAACUUCGUG